GUGUGCAUUCUGUGAGGAGUUGGUGCGCUGGUGCUGAGAGGACAGCUCCUUUCCUCCAGCUGUCUUCUAUCAGGAGGGGGCUGGCAAGGAGACAUCCUCUCCACCUCCUGGAGCCACCACACGAUCUUCUUCACCCUUCAGCUUGUACAUCGCUGGGAUCACACACUAUCCUCCAGGAGGUCGUGGGUUCUUUGUUUCUUCUCCUAUAUUUAAUGGCUACCGCCUGUUGUGUUUGUGACAUCCUUCCAGCAGCUGACAUAGAGGAAGAUGCUGUGAGAAAUGGACUGAGACAGACAUAGAAGAAUAACCGCCUUUUGGAGUUGGAGCAGGAAAAGCCAUUCAUAAAAAAACAGACAAGUAGUUUGCACUUCAAGAUCGAUCCUCGCCUUUGAUCCUUCCAGGGAUGAGGGCGAGAGGCUGGCACAUGCUAAUGGCACUUUAUUGGCUCUGUGUGUGAGGGCACAGUCUCCUUUCUUCUGCAACCCAUCCGCGUCAUGUGGCAUUCAGAGAUAUGGGCAAGAUCGAUGAGAAUGAGAGGAUAAUCCUCAAUGUAGGGGGCACCAGGCACGAAACAUAUCGGAGUACUCUGAAGACCGUGCCCGGGACCCGGUUGGCAUUACUAGCAUGCGAAUCUAACAGCGAUCCGGGACUGGACCAGCCACCGGUCCCAGGCUCCUUCCAGGCCACCUGUCGGGGCAAUGAGUUCUUCUUUGAUCGCCACCCAGGGGUCUUCGCCUAUGUCCUAAACUAUUAUCGCACUGGCAAACUUCACUGCCCGGCGGAUGUGUGCGGACCUUUGUUUGAGGAAGAACUGGCAUUUUGGGGUAUUGAUGAAACGGACGUAGAGCCCUGUUGCUGGAUGACUUAUCGCCAGCACCGAGAUGCGGAGGAAGCGCUAGAUAUCUUUGAGACCCCAGACUUGAUCACAGGGGAAGCUUCGCCUAUAGAUGAGGAUGAUGAGGAAUUGGGGAAGAGGCUGGGAAUAGAGGAUGUUGUGGGUCCUGAUGGGAAGGCUGGACGCUGGAAAAGGCUGCGGCGCCGUAUGUGGGCUUUAUUUGAAGAUCCUUAUUCUUCCAGAGCCGCUAGGUUCAUCGCCUUUGCUUCCUUGUUCUUCAUCUUGGUAUCAAUAACAACAUUUUGUCUGGAGACUCAUGAAGCAUUUAAUUCCAUCAUCAAUAAAACAGAACCUGUGAAUAAUGGCACAGAAAUGGUGUCAUUAAUUGAGAUAGAGACUGACCCUGCCUUGACAUAUGUUGAAGGAGUUUGUGUGGUAUGGUUUACAUUAGAAUUUUUAGUACGUGUAACUUUCUGUCCAAAUAAACUUGAAUUCGUCAGAAAUCUACUAAACAUUAUAGAUUUUGUGGCUAUAUUGCCAUUUUACCUGGAGGUUGGACUAAGUGGACUGUCCUCCAAAGCUGCUAAGGAUGUAUUAGGUUUCCUCAGGGUUGUAAGAUUUGUCCGUAUCCUCCGAAUUUUUAAACUAACCCGCCAUUUUGUAGGACUAAGAGUGCUUGGGCACACUCUUCGAGCUAGUACUAAUGAAUUUUUGCUUCUCAUAAUAUUUUUGGCUCUAGGAGUCUUAAUAUUUGCCACAAUGAUCUACUAUGCCGAGAGAAUAGGUGCCAGUCCAAAUGAUCCAUCAGCAAGCAAGCAUACACAGUUUAAAAAUAUUCCAAUUGGUUUCUGGUGGGCCGUGGUUACUAUGACUACCUUGGGGUAUGGUGACAUGUACCCUCAGACAUGGUCAGGAAUGUUGGUAGGAGCACUGUGUGCAUUGGCUGGUGUACUUACAAUUGCAAUGCCUGUUCCAGUCAUUGUUAACAAUUUUGGAAUGUACUACUCCCUUGCUAUGGCAAAACAGAAACUUCCACGGAAAAGAAAGAAAUACAUUCCUCAUGGACCUCAGGCUGGUAGUCCUACCUUCUGCAAGAUGGAUCUUAACAUAGGAUGUAACAGCACACAGGUGGAUGCAUGCCUUGGUAAAGACAACCGCUUGAUGGAGCACAACAUGUCAGGUGAGGAUAGUUCAGGAAGUGACCAGCCACUAUCACCAGGAGAAAGGCACCCGAUGAGACGCUCUAGCACCAGGGAAAAAAACAGAAGAGCAGGAACAUGUUUUCUCCUGACAGCAGGUGAAUACUCGUGCAAUACUGAUGGAGGGAUCCGUAAAGACUGAGUUGUUUGGAGCCAGAGACUAAACAUAGUGAAAAAUGAAGAACAAUAUUUGUUUCCUGUGAAAUGUCUUUAUAUAUUUUAUUUAUAAUUAUUAAACAUUUCUUUUAGUCCUAAUAAAAGAGUUUCAUUUGACAUUAUUUGUCCUAAUUUAAUAACCUGACAGGGUAAUAUUUACAGCUAUUUCGGUACUGACCAGUUCAGAAAACUGCUCUGUGUGAUAUACUGUAAAAUAUACUAAACCGGCUGGGUAAACAUUCAAAAUUAAACAGUAUCUUCAACACAAAUAAACACUCAGUAUAAAACACUAUUCCUUAGGAGGUUUUAGCAAAAGUGAUAAAACAUUGCACAGGCCUUUCUCUGGCUGCACCAAUCUCUGGUCUGGUAACAGAAUUGUUCUCAUAGUAAUGCUAUACUGGGUUCAAGAGAGAACAUAUAAAUGGAAAGACAAUGGGGGAGAUUUAUCAAAACCUGUCCAGAGGAAAAGUUGCUGAGUUGCCCAUAGCAACCAAUCAGAUCGCUUCUUUCAUUUUUGAAAAGGCCUGUGAAAAAUAAAAGAAGUGAUCUGAUUGGUUGCUAUGGGCAGCUCAGCAACUUUUCAUCUGGACAGGUUUUGUAAAUCUCCCCCAAUAUUUGUAAUUUUUGCUAUGUACUUGGACCACAGCUGGUAAGGCCCAACCUCCCCAAUUCUAGCUGGUGAGAAUUCAGUAGAAAAAGAUUGGGAAAUCCUGAGUUUUACCUAAAUUUCAACCAUAAAAGGCACUGUAUAAUAAGAAGUCAGAUCACAUUGUCUUUCUUGCAGGAUGUCAUACCAACAAUGUAUUAGCUUAGUGAAAAACAAAACAUCUCAAUGAGCUUGAUUAAAUAGCAAAAAGUGCAUUGGCAAUUUUACCAUGAAGAUUCCCCAAUCCAAUCUUGUUUCUUUUAUUAAGGUUAAUAGCGGGAUAUUUCAUAAUAUGGGGAACCGUUAUAAUGUAGCUGGGUACUGUUGUAAGGGCUACCAUUCUGAUCAUUACUUGAAAAAUUAGAAAUUAGACAUACAACUUAUUUUAUUAUAAUAGUAGUGAUGUGGGGAGUAUAAUACUUUUUGAGUGUGCCCCAAGGUUACUUCUGGAAAUAUGGUCCAUAUUCACUGUAGUGUAUUUGUAUUGAGGCCUUCAGUCUGUCCCCCGUAAGAUGAUUUUGGGGGAAAAAAGAGUUUGGUUUUCUGCGUGAAAUUUUUGUUUUUGGUAAGAUAAAAGCUAUAUGUCAGCUGCUUACCUCUUCUUUCCCUAUUCACCCUUUGGGUGAUAGUGUGUAAAUGGCACCUUAAGUUGGAAUAUGGAAAAUAGUGCUUAACACACCUGGAUUUUUUGCCAUUAAAAAAAGAAAAGACGAAAGGUGCAAAGGUGCAAUUGGUUAACUAUUGGAGUGGGUAGCAAGAAGACUGGGGCCAGCCAUACACAUUAGACACAUUAAACAUUGCUUUCAAAACUGAUUUCUACUGUAAUAAUCAAAUAAUGUAAAGCUCUAAAGAAAAUGUUACCAUAUGAAACUACAACUCCCAGUAUAACCUAAGCAGUGGUAAAUGUAUGCUAGAAACUAGAACUUACAAGUGACUAGAUCACUGAUUGAACAUAGUCAGGCAGAAUAUACAAUAAUAUCAGUGACUCUGUUCUUCUCCAUCUAUAAGCAGAUCCUCAUCCUCUAUAUAUUGACGAUAUUUAACAUAAUACUGCCAGACACUGACUGAAUUAUCUGAAUAUAACUCUGUCAAUUACUGUGCUCCCUGAAUAUAACCCUGCCACAUACUGUACACUCAAAAUGUAACUAUGCCACACAUUGUAAACUCUGAAUAUAACCUUGCAAGAUCCUGUACCCUCUGAAUUUAAUACUGCCACACACAACUCCAAAAAGCAGAUAUGACACUCCAAAAAAUCCAAUUAAAGGUUUUUAUUCACCCAUCAAUAAUAUAAAUAAAAUGCAAUGUUUAAAUCUCACAUGAGAUCUUUUCCAUUGUAAGAUUGAAACACUGUAGAUUGUACCAUUGGCAAAUAAAAAAACGUUGAUUGGUUUCAUAUUUUAUUGAUUCAUGGAUUGAAGCCUUUUGAAGCAGAGCACCCACUAGAUCAAGACAACAAGCCUCAGCACUGUUCUCAUGCUAGCUAUACUAUUUAUUGUACUGCUACACAAUGUGUCCUCUUAAUAUAACCCUGCCAGACACUGUACCUUUAGGAUAUAACACUGGCAUAUACUGUUCCUCUGAAAAUAACCCGGCUACACACUAUAACCCUACCACAAACGGUGCCCCUGAAUAUAACCCUGACAGGCACUGUGUCCCUGAAUGCAACUCUGCCAUACACUUUACCCCCUUGAAAUCUAUGUUGAAACACAUUAUACCCUCUAAAUGCAGUUUUCUUCCUGUACCCACUGAAUAUAACUAUGUUACACACUGUGCCCUUUGAACAUAAGCCUCUCAAACUCUGUACUCCUUGAGUAUGAUUCUGCCAGAGACUGCACAAAUAUUUUCCCUUGUUCUGUCCCAAAAGUAAUGGUACCCUCUUAUGUACCUCUCAUAUUAAUAGUGUUAUUCUCAGCUCACCCAAACAAUAAUAGUACCAUUUCUAGUUCCCACAAAGUAAUAAUUCUCCUCAUAAUUCACCACACAUAGUGGAGAUCAUUGUGUCUUUUUGUCCUCCGCAUAGUAAAUAUGACUAAUGUUGUGCCCCCCUACAAAGUUAUAAUGCUCCUGUGGUAGCCCUUGGGGGGUGUAUGGUAGUGGUGGUAUGGUAUAGGUAUAUAAGAGGUUAAUGUUAACCCUAGAGUUCGUGACGCCAGGCUGAGGGCUGGUAUGCUGAAUCAGUGUUCCGGCCUAUUGCCGCCCUUCCCAAUAACGAUAGGUGCAUAAAAUAACUAAAGGUCCACAAGGAGAUUUGAACUUUAACUUUAAUAAUGUUUACUGAAGUGCUUGCAAUAUUCACGGCACAGUAACAGUCUCAUACAAACAGUCCGUUGGUUACUUAGCGACUGGCAGUAGUUGCGGACCUUAAUUUAGGAAGAGAUUUGCAGAUCCGUCCUGAUUUAGGGGAGGUACUCGGUCCGGAGAUGCUGCAGAGUGUUUGGGAGGUGAUACACUCUAUAAUUAUAAUUGUUCAGCCGUUGCCGCAAGGCUCGGGCCAAACUCACUGCGACUUCUGCUGUACAGGUCUUGCCUGCUUGACAGCCCACGAGGUAAGAGAGAGAAACAUGGCCACCGCUCCCUUAUAUGGGCAGGGGGCGUGGCGAAUCUGAUUGGUCCGAACGUCUGCCAUUCACCUUACAUGGUGUGAUGGGAUUGCUUACAUCACAGGAUCUAUAUACAUUAUAAAACCAAAACGAGGCUAGAGAUACCAAAGUGAGACCUGGAAUGCAUCCAAAGUGAGGCUUGGAACGCAUCACAUGACCCGAAGGCCCUGCGACACCAUGGAAACAAGCACUUCUUCCUCCACAAAACAGCUUUAUCAGUUCUUUUAAAGAAAAAAAAAAUCUUGGGGCAGGGAGCACGAACUGAAGUCAUCUGGCUAUGUGCACUAAAUUCACAAAGUGGGCUACAGUUUGUCCAUGGCUCCAUUACUCAGAAGUAAAGGUACAGCGGACGCAUAUGCUGGUUUGGGAUUAACCCAGUAAUGCAAUGAUACCGAAGGAGCCAACACUCUCACAGAAGCACCGCUACAUCUCUUUCCAGUACUUUGUACCUAAGAGUAAGAAUGUCUUUGGCUUCAUCCAUGUUACCUAAAGUCAACCAGGCAGAGGUAUUGGAGAAGGUGAAAUUGUGCCAAGUGGAAAGCAAUGAAAAUGAAGGAUACAGUGUGAUGAUGAAGUAUUACAAUGAACUAACAGCAUGGAAGGGGAGGUGAAAAUGCAAGUGUUAGGACAUCUGCUCCAGCAAAUGUGGAAUGACAGAAGAGAAGAGCAAAGAAUGCUACUUUCUCAUGUAGACUAAAAUCAGGAUCACUAACAAUGUGACGAUUGCUGACAAAAUACUGCACAGGGCCUGGGAACAUUUCAAGAAGAAGCUCGGUGCUUGUCUUGAGAAGGGAGGAGAAACUUGUAAAGUCACCAAGUUUGUAUCAGUUCUCAGGGUACUCAAAAACAGGCAGGCAAGAGUAUGACUGUGGGUGGCAGUGGGGCCCCAUGUGCAUAUCAAGUGUAGCAUUAUUUUUUCACUCAACCAAAGGAUGUCUGUGACCAACUUCAGGGUAUGUAAACAGCAGUAAAAUUGUCACUUCCUUGGAAAACGUUUUGGAAACUCUCGUUAUUGACACAUAUGUAGCAUCUUCACAGUAUCCUAAAGAGAAAGAAUGUUCAAAAAGACUUUUCAUAUAUGCUUGCCUUUCUGAGUCCAUUUUAAAUUACCAGACUAACAAUUAAUGACUAACAAUUAAUUAAUGUUGUCCUGUUAGUUCUUGCAGUUUUUUUUGUUGGUGUUAGUUAUGCUGCUAUGGGCAGCAAACAUGAUUCUCCUGCAAUGAUGAAUCUAAAGCAGUGGUUCUCAACCAUUUUCAUUACUGUACCCCCAAAGGGUGAAAGUAUGUGCGUGGGUACAGAGGGAGGGGAGAAGAAUGGCACAAGGGGAUUAAGAUGGGGUGGGGGAGGAUUAUGAUUACCCCCCUCCUUAUGAAUUCCCUUUUUCCAUUAUUCCCCCCCUCCCUCUGAUCCCCUUUUGCCAUUAUCCCCCUCUAUCUUAAACCCCUUUUGCCAUUAUCCCCCCCUCCAUCUUAAUCCCCUUGUGCCAUUAUUCUCCACUCCGAUCCCCCUGUGCCAAUAUAUGAGAUACAAACAAUAACACCCUUAGUUUAACAUGCUUAGUUUAACAUGCUUAACAGUCUUGUGUCUAUCCCGUUCGGUGGGAGUCGAGGACCGCACUGACGGUUGACUUCCUUCUGCACUGUGUCGGCACCUCAAUGCAACGUCUGUACGGCGUCCAAUCUUUGCUCUGGCUGACAAAUACUGUCCAAUGCAUGGCCGAUAUUUGUCAGCGAAUUGCCGUACCCCCGCAUAACCCUUGGGAUACCCCUGGUUGAGAACCCCUGAUCUAAAGGACACAUAGGCAUUUCUUCCACAAAUCCUGCUUUAAGAAUUUUUGGGACAUUAAGUAACAAAUUAUUCCAUUAUGGAAACUUAACUUGCAUUUUAGAGUUUCCUCAGAAAGAUAAUAUAAACAUUUUUUGACAGUAAGACUAGAGGACAAAAUUAUGAGUUUUGAGAGAGUGAAGCAGACUCCAAGAGCCUUGUACCAUGGAAUAAACUAGCUUAGUUUGCCAUGCAGAUCCUGGCUUAUUCCUCUGCAGGCCUUUUUUUCUGUCAGAUCUAAAAUAUGCUCAGAGCUCAAGCCACAACAUACAUGCCAUGCAUGCCUUCUCCCUCCUUCAUCCCUCCUUGCAAUGCAUAAUUGAUCAGUCCUGUAUUUUAAUCAAUCAAGGCAAGGAGGGGUGGGAGAGGGAGGAGGCAUGCAUGCUGUGGCUUGGCAUCGCCACCUUGACACUUCAGCUCUGAGCGUGAUAUAGAUAUGGUAUAAAAGGACAAAUUACCUUUAAUUCUAAAUAUAAUAUAAAAAAUAUGCACUGCAGUACAUCAACAAAAGAGCUGUACUAUAAGUCAUACUAAAGGAAGCAGUUAUACCAUAAAAGUGUUUAAAUUUUGAUGUGUUAAAAUUUGGAUUUUUGAAAUAAAGACGCUAAAUGUUUAAAGAGUGUUGAAACAGCUUUCUGUUUUACUUAGGAAGCAGUUAUAGUUUGUUCUAUUGGGUUCAGAUCAGGAUAUUUUCCUUACCAAGUCACCAACUGAAUUAAAUUUACUGUGAACCAU